rnacentral:rRNA from 1 species
UGAGUAACACGUAUCCAACCUGCCGUCUACUCUUGGCCAGCCUUCUGAAGGAAGAUUAAUCCAGGAUGGCAUCAUGAGUUCACAUGUCCGCAUGAUUAAAGGUAUUUUCCGGUAGACGAUGGGGAUGCGUUCCAUUAGAUAGUAGGCGGGGUAACGGCCCACCUAGUCAACGAUGGAUAGGGGUUCUGAGAGGAAGGUCCCCCACAUUGGAACUGAGACACGGUCCAA